AUUGAACGCUGGCGGCAUGCCUUACACAUGCAAGUCGAACGGUAACAGGUCUUCGGAUGCUGACGAGUGGCGAACGGGUGAGUAAUACAUCGGAACGUGCCUAGUAGUGGGGGAUAACUACUCGAAAGAGUGGCUAAUACCGCAUGAGAUCUACGGAUGAAAGCAGGGGAUCGCAAGACCUUGUGCUACUAGAGCGGCCGAUGGCAGAUUAGGUAGUUGGUGGGAUAAAAGCUUACCAAGCCGACGAUCUGUAGCUGGUCUGAGGGGACGAUCAGACACACUGUGACUGAGACACGGCCCAGACUCCUACGGGAGGCAGCAGUGGGGAAUUUUGGACAAUGGGCGCAAGCCUGAUCCAGCAAUGCCGCGUGCAGGAUGAAGGCCUUCGGGUUGUAAACUGCUUUUGUACGGAACGAAAAGCCCCGGGUUAAUACCCUGGGGUCAUGACGGUACCGUAAGAAUAAGCACCGGCUAACUACGUGCCAGCCGCCGCCGUAA
rnacentral:rRNA from 1 species